rnacentral:rRNA from 1 species
UGAGGAACAUGACCUUCGGCGGGGGAUAGCCGGCCCAACGGCCGGGUAAUACCGCGUACGACCUUUUGGGGACAUCCCCGAGGGGUGAAAGCAGCAAUGCGCCGAAAGAGUGCCUCGCGGCCUAUCAGCUAGUUGGUGGGGUAAUAGCUCACCAAGGCGAUGACGGGUAGCCGGCCUGAGAGGGUGACCGGCCACACUGGGACUGAGACACGGCCCAGACUCCUACGGGAGGCAG